rnacentral:rRNA from 1 species
AUUGAACGCUGGCGGCAUGCCUUACACAUGCAAGUCGAACGGUAACGGUUCCUUCGGGAUGCCGACGAGUGGCGAACGGGUGAGUAAUAUAUCGGAACGUGCCCAGUAGUGGGGAUAACUGCUCGAAAGAGCAGCUAAUACCGCAUACGACCUGAGGGUGAAAGGGUGGGAUCGCAAUACCUCUCGCUAUUGGAGCGUCCGAUAUCAGAUUAGUUAGUUGGUGGAGUAAAGGCCUACCAAGGCAACGAUCUGUAGAUGGUCUGAGAGGACUACGAGCCACACUGUGACGUAGACACUGGCCAGACUCAUACGGGAGGUAGCAGUGGGGAAUUUUGGAAAAUGGGCGCAAGCCUGAUCCAGCAAUGCCGCGUGCAGGAAGAAGGCCGUCUGGUUGUAAACUGCUUUUGUCAGGGAAGAAAUCUUCUGAGCUAAUACCCCGGGUGUAUGACGGUACCUGAAGAAUAAGCACCGGCUAACUACGUGCCAGGCGCCGCCGUAA